rnacentral:rRNA from 1 species
CGCCAGCCCGCUCAGAAACUUAAAUGAAGUUGACGGGGGCCCGCACAAGCGGAGGAGCAUGUGGUUUAAUUCGAUGAUACGCGAGGAACCUUACCUGGGCUCGAACGUAAGAUGACUGUAGGUGAAAGCUUUACAUCUCUUCGGAGCAUUUUACGAGGUGCUGCAUGGUUGUCGUCAGCUCGUGCCGUGAGGUGUCGGGUUAAGUCCCAUAACGAGCGCAACCCCUAUCAUUAGUUGCCAUCAGGUCAAGCUGGGGACUCUAAUGAAACUGCCUACGCAAGUAGUGAGGAAGGUGGGGAUGACGUCAAGUCAUCAUGGCCCUUACGGCCUGGGCUACACACGUGCUACAAUGGUCGGUACAAAGGGUUGCCAAGCCGCGAGGUGGAGCUAAUCCCAUAAAACCGAUCGUAGUCCGGAUCGCAGUCUGCAACUCGACUGCGUGAAGUCGGAAUCGCUAGUAAUCGUGAAUCAGAAUGUCACGGUGAAUACGUUCCCGGGCCUU